rnacentral:rRNA from 1 species
GACGUAGGAGGCGAGCGUUAUCCGGAUUCACUGGGCGUAAAGCGCGUGUAGGUGGUUCGUCAAGUCGAGUGUGAAAGCCUCUGGCUCAACUGGGGGAGGUCACUCGAAACGGACGGACUGGAGGGUCAGAGAGGAAGGCGGAAUUCCCGGUGUAGCGGUGGAAUGCGUAGAGAUCGGGAGGAACACCAGUGGCGAAAGCGGCCUUCUGGCUGACAACUGACACUGAGACGCGAAAGCGUGGGGAGCAAACGGG